rnacentral:tRNA from 1 species
AUUGGCGUAGCUUAAUGGAAAGCAUAACAUUGAAGAUGUUAAAAAAGAGCUUAAAUUUCUCUCACCAAUA